rnacentral:rRNA from 1 species
GACGAACGCUGGCGGCGUGCUUAACACAUGCAAGUCGAACGAAGUGGCGAACGGGUGAGUAACGCGUAAUCAACCUGCCCUUCAGAGGGGGACAACAGGUGGAAACGACUGAUAAUAUCGCAUACUGAAGGAGGGGAUUGCGUCUGAUUAGCUAGUUGGAGGGGUACCGGCCAACCAAGGCGAUGAUCAGUAGCCGGUUGUAUGGGAUGCACCGCCACCUUGGUACUUAGACACGUCCCAAACUCCUACGGGGGGCAGCAGUAGGGAAUCUUCCGCAAUGGACGAAAGUCUCACGGCGCAACGCCGCGUGAGUGGUGACGCCCUUCGGGUUGUAAAGCUCUGUUAAUCGUGACGCGGUACCGUAAUAGAAAGCCACGGCUAACUACGUGCCAGCCGCCGCGGUAAUAC